CCUACGGGGGGCAGCAGUGAGGAAUAUUGGUCAAUGGACGAGAGUCUGAACCAGCCAAGUAGCGUGAAGGAUGAAUGCCCUAUGGGUUGUAAACUUCUUUUAUAUGGGAAUAAAAUGUUCCACGUGUGGGAUUUUGUAUGUACCAUAUGAAUAAGGAUCGGCUAACUCCGUGCCAGCAGCCGCGGUAAUACGGAGGAUCCGAGCGUUAUCCGGAUUUAUUGGGUUUAAAGGGAGCGUAGGUGGAUUGUUAAGUCAGUUGUGAAAGUUUGCGGCUCAACCGUAAAAUUGCAGUUGAAACUGGCAGUCUUGAGUACAGUAGAGGUGGGCGGAAUUCGUGGUGUAGCGGUGAAAUGCUUAGAUAUCACGAAGAACUCCGAUUGCGAAGGCAGUUCACUGGACUGCAACUGACACUGAGGCUCGAAAGUGUGGGUAUCAAACAGGAUUAGAUACCCCAGUAGUC
rnacentral:rRNA from 1 species